ACUCCUACGGGAGGCAGCAGUGGGGAAUAUUGCACAAUGGGGGAAACCCUGAUGCAGCCAUGCCGCGUGUGUGAAGAAGGCCUUCGGGUUGUAAAGCACUUUCAGUAGGGAGGAAAGGUAGCACCUUAAUACGUUGUUGCUGUGACGUUACCUACAGAAGAAGGACCGGCUAACUUCGUGCCAGCAGCCGCGGUAAUAC
rnacentral:rRNA from 1 species